AGCUGUGACUAUAUGGACACAAUCUUCAGUAUAGCUAUGUGGUUUUUACCAGCUAUGCUCAUCAGUCAAGCAAUAUGACUAAGAGGGAAGAUUGGUCCAGAAGUGGAAUUUAUCAGAUGUGUUGUGAUGGUUAAUUUUGUGUCAACUUAACUGGCCUGAGGGAUGCCCAGAUAGCUGGUAAAACAUUCUUUCUGCAUGUCUGUGAGAAUUUCCAGGAGAGAUUAGUGGAUUGGAGGCAGGAAAGGCACGUAUGGGUUUGGAGAGUGUUAAAUUAUUUUUUAAGAUGAGAAAGCUUAAAUAUUUGAAAUGAUGAAAAGGAAUCAGUGGCAGAAAAAAAAUAAGAUUAUAAAGUGAGAUUAUUUGACUGAGUGGAAUGACCAAAGAGAUCUCUUCUCACUAGUGUGGGCAGGUAUUGUCUAGUCCACUGGGGGUCUGAAUGGAACAGAAAGAUGAAGAAAGAACAAAUUGUCUCCCUCUUACCCUUUUCUCUCUUCAUGAGCUGGAACAUCCAUCUUUUUCUGCUGUCAGACCAUGGAGAUCCUGGUUCUCAGGCCUUUGGACAUGGAGGGAAUUAUACCACUGGCUUUCUUGGUCUUCCAGCUUUCAGAUGGCAGACUUUGGGACUUCUUGGCCUCUCUAAUGAAAUAACAGGUGGACAGAGUGAGAUGAGAAUACCAGCACGAAGCAGUUGAAGAAAUAUGUCCUGGAGACUGUUGGAUGAGAAGGAAGAGAAAAUAGCAGAUGAGACAGAAGACUAUGAAGGAACUGGAGGAACAGAUGUUAUUAAAGAACAGAUUUGGUAAGAGUAACUUCAUGAGGACAAUCAAAACAGAUGAUUGUCAUCUGAGAAGGCAUAUUGAAAGUAAAAGGAUAGAGGACUAGGAAGAUGGUGGCAUAGGAGGACGCUAGGCUCACCGCGCGUCCUGCUGAUCACUUAGAUUCCACCUACACCUGCGUAAAUAACCCAGAAAACCGCCAGAGGAUUAGCAGAACGGAGUCUCCGGAGCCAAGCGCAGAUGAGAGGCCCACGGAAGAGGGUAGGAAGGGCAGCGAGGCGGUGCGAGCUCCACGGACUGGCGGGAGGGAGCCGGGUCGGAGGGGCGGCCCGCCGGCCAAGCAGAGCCCCCGAGUCUGGCUGGCAAAA